CCAUAAUUCAGUGGUAGAGUUCCUGUCUCACAUACAGAAAGGCCUGGGUUCCAUCCCCAGUACUAGGG
rnacentral:tRNA from 1 species